AAGUCGUAACAAGGUUUCCGUAGGUGAACCUGCGGAAGGAUCAUUAAUGAAUGCAAGGAUGCUCUUUUUAGAGGUCCGACUCUUCAUUUUUCCAACCCUGUGCACAUACACUGUUAUUUAUACAUCAUUUUAAACUCUUUAAAAGUUCAAAAGAAUGUCAAAAGUCUCUUAAUUGAGCAUUAAACAAAACAAAACUUUCAGCAACGGAUCUCUUGGCUCUC
rnacentral:misc_RNA from 1 species